rnacentral:rRNA from 1 species
AUGCAGCUGUCAUCUUCUUCUCCGUCCUCGCUCGCAUGCGCUGUGGCAAUCAUCCUGGUGAUCAUGGUUUGCUGCUCCUUGCUGCCAUUUCCAUGCUCUGCCGUUUGCAAAGGUAUGCAGCCACACUGGGGCUGGGGAGAGGCCAACAGCCAGUGGGAGGAAACCAUUUUGAGAAGGAUUCCAUUUUGGUCAGGGGGAUCGGGAGGGCCCCGGGGGAGAAGGAAACAGGGGAGGAGGAAACCAAGUAGGACGGUCGCUUCAGGCGCCGCGGGGUAA